UACGAAGGGGGCUAGCGUUGCUCGGAAUCACUGGGCGUAAAGCGCACGUAGGCGGAUCGCUAAGUCAGGGGUGAAAUCCUGGAGCUCAACUCCAGAACUGCCUUUGAUACUGGCAAUCUCGAGUCCGGGAGAGGUGAGUGGAACUGCGAGUGUAGAGGUAAAAUUCGUAGAUAUUCGCAAGAACACCAGUGGCGAAGGCGGCUCACUGGCCCGGUACUGACGCUGAGGUGCGAAAGCGUGGGGAGCAAACAGG
rnacentral:rRNA from 1 species